CCUGACCCGGAGGCCCGCCUUUACUCUCCCGGUCCCCCAAUUGAGAGGAGAAGGGAGGAAAGCGCUUCGCCAAUGCGCGCUUCCCACGCAGGCUGGCGACUGAGAGAGAAGCGAGAGGCUAGGUGGUGGAGAGAGUCCGUGACUGGUCCGCAGUGGCCAUGGGAGGAGCUUCAUGGCAAUAACCCAGAACUCCCGAGCUCCAGUCCAACGCUCUAACCAUUGCACCGCACUGUCAGCAGUCGUGGUUGGGGGACGCGGUGGCAAUGCUCCCCUCCGGUCACAGCGGGCUACGCUGCUCGGUGUCGGCGCUGCUCGGUGUUUGCGUCCGCCUGGGGUUGCCAGGCCCCGCGGAUCCUGGGGGUUAGACGGCGCCUGGGGGUGGAGUGGGGCUUACGCGUGGACUGGGCAUCGCAUCUUGGCUGGAAGGCGAAGGAAAACCUGGUUGGGCUUGGGGCCUGGUAGCAAUCCUGAGCAAUAAAAAUAAAAACGCUCAAAAGCAAGCAAAACAAUAA